rnacentral:rRNA from 1 species
UACGAAGGGUCCAAGCGUUGUUCGGAAUUACUGGGCGUAAAGCGCGCGUAGGCGGGCUUGUAAGUUGAUUGUGAAAGCCCCGGGCUCAACCUGGGAAUGGCAGUCAAAACUGCAAGUCUUGAAUGUCUGAGAGGAUGGCGGAAUUCCCGGUGUAGUAGUGAAAUACGUAGAUAUCGGGAAGAACACCUGAGGCGAAGGCGGCUAUCUGGCGGUACAUUGACGCUGAGGCGCGAAAGCGUGGGGAGCAAACAGG